UUUUUUUCUGUUUAUAAUACAGAGAUAGUCAUUUAACUAGAAACAUUUCCCAUUGUAUUAUUGCAUCAGACAACACUGUGUGAAGUGAAAGCAUGAAAACAAAUCCCUGUCUUUAAGUAAAAAUAUCUUAAUUUUCUUAAUGAAUAAAAAUAACUAGUAGGGCCAGGUGCAGUGUUGCACAUCUGUAAUGUCUGUAAUCCCAGAAGCUCAGGUGGCUGAGGCAGAAGGAUGCAGAGUUCAAAGCCAGCCUCAGCAAAAACAAGGCAUUGAGCAACUUGGUGAGACCCUGUCUCCAAAAAAAAGUACAAAAUAGGGCUGGGGAUGUGGGUCAGUGGUGGAGUGCCCCUGAGUUCAAUCCCCAGGACUCCUGCAGGCUCCCCCCAAAAAACCAAUAAGGAUUUUAUGAGGAUUAAAUUAAAUAGCAUGUGAGAGAAUAUUUUGCACAAGGCCCUAUACGUACAAAAGAAAAGUUCUUUUUAAACCCAGUAAAGGCUGAAAGGUAUGAGGAAUGAGGUUACAACAGGUCAUCAAUGUUUAUGUUGUAGCCAACAAGAAACUGCUAAGUUACAUACAUUGGCAGGUGAUAAUAAUUGUAAAACAUGUGAAUAAUGGUUCAAUUUAGAUUUUCUUUGCCAGUGCUAUUAAUUUAUGUAAGUGAAAGUGUCAGCACUGAAUGUACUGAGUGUGAAGCACAAUUCAUAAAAUAGCUGGUUAAUUUUCCCAGCUUUCAAUUUACUUGUAUGACUUCAAACAUGGCAUGUAUAUUUUAAAUUAAUUUCAAAAAGUUAAGAGAUGUAUCAUAUAAGAUAGGGAUUAGUUAACAUAUAUAAAUUGUAGUGAGCAGGCCUGAAAAGUGCAGUGUUUGUUCAUAUCAUUUUGCAUGGACCAUCCACAGAGUUGCAAGAAAUUCAUUCUGCUUUUAACACAUGUCCAGGAAUGUAAAUGAUUGGUGUGACUGGGGUCUGUGUGUGGAAGGGCUCGACUCUGGAAUCUAGCUGUUGACCUAAGGGUGAGUACUGACAGACAGGUGGGGACUAGGGGAAGCACAUGGAAAGAGCCCCUGUUCUCCCUCCAUGCACUUACUGGUUGUGUCUUCUAAACCCUAUGACCUUCUUGCCUCACUGUACUUCAGUCCUGGGACAGAAAAACUGGGCAUUUAUACAGAUUCAAAAUUUUUACUUUCUAGGAAAAAGGAAUUAAUUUUGGACUGAUUUGUAUCUGUGUUGGUAUGUGUAUGUAGUUUUGCCUAUUAGAUAUAAGAUCAUCUGGAACCUAACAAUACCUGGGACCCUAGGCCAAUUGGUAUUAAAAUCCUUUAUAUCAAGGGAUUCAUUAAAAACCAUGAGGCUAGUUAUAAUAAACAGUAAUGAAUACUUAUUGAGUACUAACUAUUAGCCAGAAGUGGGACUAAGCAUUUUAUACUUCAUCCUCAAAAUCAUCUGAUGAGAUAACUAUUCCCAUUGCACAGAUCAGGAACUGAGGCAAAGCAUGAGUCCAAGAAUCCAGAGUCAGCAGCAGAUCCAGAACUAACUCCAGUCUGACUCCUGAGUUCAUACUUUCCACAGGGUAUUAUGCUACCACAAUCCUGGAAGUUCCCUCAGUCCCCUCCCUCUCCUACUCACUAUCCAAAGCCUCUGGGGCCCUGAGUCCUCUCUUAUGAUGUCAUCUGAUACGUGGAUCCUCCCUUUCUUCCAACAGCUUAUCUUCCUUUUGCUGACUUCCCUUCCAGCUCUUUCCACUGUGUGCAUUGAAAACUCUUUUCCAUAGUAAAUAAACUUCCCCACACCCUCAGUCUCUGCACACUGUGCUGCCUUUACUGUCCAGUCUCCAGUGAGACUUGAUUCUCCCCUAAGAAUAUUUCCUUCCUUUUAUUCCUCUCAGGUAGAGAUGGGCAAGUCUGGUGUAGCUCACUGGCAUUAUCCUGGUUCCAAAUUGCCUCUCCAAGCCUCUCCCUACCCUCUGCUGUAGGCACCAUCCUGUUUUAUUGUCUUUGACCUGUUUUGCCUCUGCUUUCUCUAUAUUCCAGUCAUUUCCAUGCAUUCACAGCUUGCCUACUCCUCUUCCCAACUCCUGCCAUCAUCUCAUCAGAUCAGUAUUUCUGAAAUACUUUUGAACUCUAGCUACUAGUUUCAUGACCCUUGUUUCCUUGGUGUUUACCUCGCCCCUACUAAGAUCUGAUUCCAGUGGUCUUACUUUUGACCUUAUUAUUACUUCAGACUUGGUCCAACCUAUGAAAUCCCAAACUCAGAUAGCACACUAUCUCUUACCAACUUCCACCAUUCUUCUUUCCUCACUCUCUCUAAGCCUCUUGCUCCUCUUUGUUAGAUCUUAACCUUUCCAUGGUUUCUUAUUCUCCCUACCUCCUCUUGAUUUUAAUACCUAUUUUACACAAACUGAAGUCAGCAUUCAAAUAUUCUUACCAGAACUUUCAAUUCACUUACUUAUUCCUUUUCUCCUUUGUUUUGGUUUUGAGUCCCAGGAAUAGAUUUUGAAGAUUUGAAUGCAAGUAGUAUGCUUGGGAGGUGAUUCUGGAAAUUUUACAUAAAGGUAUUGGGAAGUGAGAAAGAGAAAAGGGGGAAGCCACUGCAGGGUGAGUUUGGAAGCAAGUAGUUCCUGCAGGCAGCUAGGCAUCAAGUCAACCAUAAGCCCUAGAUAACAGUGAAUAACUUGUCUUGGAACUGCCUGAGAUAGGCAGGGCAGGGCAGCAAGGGGAAAUACCACCAACAUUUAUGGGCAGCUGUGGAGAGUGACUUCUUUUUUAAGAGAACUCCUUGCUUGCCUUUUGUCUGAGAAUCAGUCCUGUUCACACAGCUAGAGAAAGCUCCAGCUGCUGUGUGUAGUUGUCAGCAUACACUUGAAAGGUGGGUGCCCAGAAUGUGGGGGAUGAGGUUCUACAGCAUCUACUCAAUCCAUGGACCAGACAGACCUCCCAGUACUGGGUUGAUCCUUAAAGCUGCCUCUGGGAUACUGGCUGUACUUUCACGUUAUGAAUGUAUGAUUCCUGGUCUCAGCAGGACCCAUAAAGACAUGCCAUAAUCUUUUAACCUGUUGCCUCUCUUUAAUUUCCCUCAAGUUUAGGAUUAGUGUCAGAUGGUCUGAGUUCACAUUCUGCCUUUACCAAUUUGUGAAUCUGGGCAGACACUAAACUCCUCUCUAAAUCACACUUGCCUCUUUUAUAAAAUCCAGGAAUUAAAACUGACAUGGCUUUUUGUUAAACAUUGUUUGAUGAAAUAUGGGUGUGUGUGUGUGUGUGUGUACUUUUACAUAUAUAUGUAUAUAACAUAUUUUAUAACAUAUAAAACCUAGUACAACUCCUAACACAUAACAGGACUCAGUAGCUCUUUUUUUCAUUUAAGUAUCUUUUCAUGUAUGUUCCUAGCUCUUUUAGCA
rnacentral:lncRNA from 1 species